rnacentral:lncRNA from 1 species
AAAAUAGCAGUUUUUAAGAAAAUUAUUUAUAAAUACAACAUAUUGAUGAAAAAUUCUUAAAGAUUAUUCAUCUGUCCACAAAUAGUCUAGUUGUCCUAAUUUUUAAAUCAAAAACCCAAAUCUACAAUAUUUUUCUAAAAAAUGAAAACUUUCCAAAAAUAGCCGUUUUUAAGAAAAUUAUUUAAAAAUACAACACAUGGAUGAAAAAUUCUUAAAUUAUACUCUUCUAUC